rnacentral:rRNA from 1 species
AGAGUUUGAUCCUGGCUCAGAGGGAACGCUGGCGGCAGGCCUAACACAUGCAAGUCGAACGGACCCUUCGGGGUUAGUGGCGGACGGGUGAGUAACACGUGGGAACGUGCCUUUAGGUUCGGAAUAGCUCCUGGAAACGGGUGGUAAUGCCGAAUGUGCCCUUCGGGGGAAAGAUUUAUCGCCUUUAGAGCGGCCCGCGUCUGAUUAGCUAGCUGGUGAGGUAAUGGCUCACCAAGGCGACGAUCAGUAGCUGGUCUGAGAGGAUGACCAGCACAUUGGGACUGAGACACGGCCCAAACUCCUACGGGAGGCAGCAGUGGGGAAUCUUGCGCAAUGGGCGAAAGCCUGACGCAGCCAUGCCGCGUGGAUGAUGAAGGUCUUAGGAUUGUAAAAUCCUUUCACCGGUGAAGAUAAUGACUGUAGCCGGAGAAGAAGCCCCGGCUAACUUCGUGCCAGCAGCCGCGGUAAUACGAAGGGGGCUAGCGUUGCUCGGAAUUACUGGGCGUAAAGGGAGCGUAGGCGGACAUUUAAGUCAGGGGUGAAAUCCCAGAGCUCAACUCUGGAACUGCCUUUGAUACUGGGUGUCUUGAGUGUGAUAGAGGUAUGUGGAACUCCGAGUGUAGAGGUGAAAUUCGUAGAUAUUCGGAAGAACACCAGUGGCGAAGGCGACAUACUGGAUCAUUACUGACGCUGAGGCUCGAAAGCGUGGGGAGCAAACAGGAUUAGAUACCCUGGUAGUCCACGCCGUAAACGAUGAUUGCUAGUUGUCGGGUUGUUUACAACUCGGUGACGCAGCUAACGCAUUAAGCAAUCCGCCUGGGGAGUACGGUCGCAAGAUUAAAACUCAAAGGAAUUGACGG